rnacentral:misc_RNA from 1 species
AACCAUAGAAACCUGCGGAGUACCUGCGGAGGGAUCAUUAUAGUAUAUGGAAUCUCCAUUCUAUAAACCCACUCUGCGUAUCUUGUAACUGUUGCUUCCAUGGGACUUGGUUCCGCCACACCGGCUUCACGGCUGGUGGGCGCCCAUGGAAGGAGAAACAAAACUCUUCUUUGAAAUGUAGUCAGUCUGAACAAGUUUUUAUAAACGUUAAAACUUUUAACAAUGGAUCUCAGAUCGGAA